GACGAACGCUGGCGGCGUGCUUAACACAUGCAAGUCGAACGGAAAGGCCCUGCUUUUGUGGGGUGCUCGAGUGGCGAACGGGUGAGUAACACGUGAGUAACCUGCCCUUGACUUUGGGAUAACUUCAGGAAACUGGGGCUAAUACCGGAUAGGAGCUCCUGCUGCAUGGUGGGGGUUGGAAAGUUUCGGCGGUUGGGGAUGGACUCGCGGCUUAUCAGCUUGUUGGUGGGGUAGUGGCUUACCAAGGCUUUGACGGGUAGCCGGCCUGAGAGGGUGACCGGCUACAUUGGGACUGAGAUACGGCCCAGACUCCUACGGGAGGCAGCAGUGGGGAAUAUUGCACAAUGAGCGGAAGCCUGAUGCAGCAACGCCGCGUGCGGGAUGACGGCCUUCGGGUUGUAAACCGCUUUCGCCUGUGACGAAGCGUGAGUGACGGUAAUGGGUAAAGAAGCACCGGCUAACUACGUG
rnacentral:rRNA from 1 species